rnacentral:rRNA from 1 species
UACGUAGGGGGCAAGCGUUGUCCGGAUUUAUUGGGCGUAAAGAGCGUGUAGGCGGCUAGGUAGGUGUGAAAGCCCCGGGCUCAACCCGGGAAGUGCACUUGAUACUGCGUGGCUUGAGUAUCGGAGAGGUUGGUGGAAUUCUCGGUGUAGAGGUGAAAUUCGUAGAUAUCGAGAGGAACACCGGUGGCGAAGGCGGCCAACUGGACGAAUACUGACGCUGGAGACACGGAAAAGCGUGGGGGAGCAAACAGG